GCGAAGGUCCCAAGCGUUGUUCGGAAUCACUGGGCGUAAAGGGUGCGUAGGCGGCGUGGUAAGUCAGACGUGAAAUCCCUCGGCUCAACCGGGGAACUGCGUCUGAUACUGGGUGGCUUGAAUCCGGGAGAGGGAUGCGGAAUUCCAGGUGUAGCGGUGAAAUGCGUAGAUAUCUGGAGGAACACCGGUGGCGAAGGCGGCAUCCUGGACCGGCAUUGACGCUGAGGCGCGAAAGCCAGGGGAGCAAACGGGA
rnacentral:rRNA from 1 species